GACACCACAUCACAUACAAUUACUGGAGUUAAGCAAUGUUGAGCCUGUUUGGUACCUAGAUGGGAGACCAACUGGGAAUACCAGGUGUUGUAAU